rnacentral:rRNA from 1 species
AUUGAACGAGGGCGGCAGGCCUAACACAUGCAAGUCGAGCGAAUGGAGGACGGGUGAGUAAUGUCUGGGAAAAUGCCUAAUGGAGGGGGAUAACUACUGGAAAAGGUAGCUAAUACCGCAUACCAUCGGAUGUGCCCAGAUGGGAUUAGCUAGUAGGUGGUGGAAUGCCUCACCUAGGCGACGAUCCCUAGCUGGUCUGCGAGGAUGACCAGCCACACUGGAACUGAGACACGGUCCAGACUCCUACGGGAGGCAGCAGUGGGGAAUAUUGCACAAUGGGCGCAAGCCUGAUGCAGCCAUGCCGCAUGUAUGAAGAAGGCCUUCGGGUUGUAAAGUACUUUCAGCGGGGAGGCGUUACCCGCAGAAGAAGCACCGGCUAACUCCGUGCCAGCAGCCGCGGUAAUAC